rnacentral:rRNA from 1 species
UGAGCGCUUAGAAGUGAGAAUGCCGGUAUGAGUAGCGCAAGACGGGUGAGAAUCCCGUCCACCGAAUAACUAAGGUUUCCUGGGGAAGGCUCGUCCUCCCAGGGUUAGUCGGGACCUAAGCUGAGGCCGAUAGGCGUAGGCGAUGGACAACAGGUUGAUAUUCCUGUACCAGUUGCUUUUGUUUGAGCGAUGGAGGGACGCAGGAGGCUAAGGAAUGCACACGAUCGGAAAUGUGUGUCCAAGCAGCAAGUCUGAGAACGAGUGAAAUGCUUUUUCUCUCAAGGACAAGCUGUGAUGGGGAGCGAAAUUUAGUAGCGAAGUUCCUGAUGUCACACUGCCAAGAAAAGCUUCUAGUGAGAAAGUAACUGCCCGUACCGCAAACCGACACAGGUAGUUGAGGAGAGAAUCCUAAGGUGUGCGAGAGAACUCUCGUUAAGGAACUCGGCAAAAUGACCCCGUAACUUCGGGAGAAGGGGUGCUGACCGCAAGGUCAGCCGCAGUGAAUAGGCCCAAGCGACUGUUUAUCAAAAACACAGGUCUCUGCAAAAUCGAAAGAUGACGUAUAGGGGCUGACGCCUGCCCGGUGCUGGAAGGUUAAGAGGAGAGGUUAGCGCAAGCGAAGCUUUGAAUUGAAGCCCCAGUAAACGGCGGCCGUAACCAUAACGGUCCUAAGGUAGCGAAAUUCCUUGUCGGGUAAGUUCCGACCCGCACGAAAGGCGUAACGAUUUGGGCACUGUCUCAACGAGAGACUCGGUGAAAUUAUAGUACCAGUGAAGAUGCUGGUUACCCGCGACAGGACGGAAAGACCCCAUGGAGCUUUACUGCAGUUUGAUAUUGCGUGUUUGUAUCACAUGUACAGGAUAGGUAGGAGCCGAAGAUACCGGGACGCCAGUCUCGGAGGAGGCAACGGUGGGAUACUACCCUUGUGAUAUGACCACUCUAACCCGCUGCUCUUAGCGAGCAGGGAGACAGUGUCAGACGGGCAGUUUGACUGGGGCGGUCGCCUCCAAAAAUGUAACGGAGGCGCCCAAAGGUUCCCUCAGAAUGGUUGGAAAUCAUUCGUAGAGUGUAAAGGCAGAAGGGAGCUUGACUGCGAGACCUACAAGUCGAGCAGGGACGAAAGUCGGGCUUAGUGAUCCGGUGGUUCCGCAUGGAAGGGCCAUCGCUCAACGGAUAAAAGCUACCCUGGGGAUAACAGGCUUAUCUCCCCCAAGAGUUCACAUCGACGGGGAGGUUUGGCACCUCGAUGUCGGCUCAUCGCAUCCUGGGGCUGUAGUCGGUCCCAAGGGUUGGGCUGUUCGCCCAUUAAAGCGGUACGCGAGCUGGGUUCAGAACGUCGUGAGACAGUUCGGUCCCUAUCCGUCGCGGGCGUUGGAAAUUUGAGAGGAGCUGUCCUUAGUACGAGAGGACCGGGAUGGACACACCGCUGGUGUACCAGUUGUUCUGCCAAGAGCAUCGCUGGGUAGCUAUGUGUGGACGGGAUAAACGCUGAAAGCAUCUAAGCGUGAAGCCCCCCUCAAGAUGAGAUUUCCCAUCACUUUAAGUGAGUAAGACCCCUGAGAGAUGAUCAGGUAGAUAGGUUGGGAGUGGAAGUACAGCGAUGUAUGGAGCGGACCAUUACUAAUCGGUCGAGGACUUAACC